UCCCCAGGCCUCUAAAGCUUUGCACAGGCCCUUGGCUACUUCACUGUCAAUCAAGUACUGAAUAAAACAGAUAGCCCUCUCCUGGGGGGCCGUGGCCCUCUUGGAUAGCAGCCUCCAGGAAAUAUCAGCCAAAUGAAGGAAGGAGGGAAUGCACCACAAGACCAGACAAUUGUGCCCAUUCGUUGCAAAUGAAGAGCGAUGUGAGCAGGGAAGGCAGCCACUCAUUCGGGAAAGGCUUUGCCUUCGAUGAUGAUGUGGUGAAGGAGGGAGUGUGAUAAGGGACCAGCCUGCAGAGGGCUGAUGCUAGAAGUAGACCCCGGGUAUCCUGAUGGCAGAGACUACAGAGCUCUGGUCUCCACACCGUCUGAAGGCCUUUGUUCCAAGUCGCGUCUAGUGCUCUGCGACUCUAACAUCUUUCUUCUUCACUGAUGUGUAGUUAGUUUCCUGCUGACCUGAAUAAAAGCUUCUCCCGGCCAGCUGGUUAGCUGCACGGUCCCGAGACCACCAGGAGACAUGCAGAGAUGGCAGAUGCCAUGCUUCAUGGGAAGAGAAGAUGGACUGUGGUGACAGACCCUAUAGCUGUCCCCUCUUCUCGUGCCAUCCUUCCCUGUGUCCCUGCCUUUGUGUAGUCCCGCCCCCCUCGGCAUAACUAAUAAAAUAUGGCAAACACGGUGGGAUGCCACUCUGUGAUUAUUUAAGCAAGACUCCCACCUUGCUAGCGGAUUUACCCGUAGUCUCUCUCCCCUCGUUGGCCAAGGGAACCGAUGGAUCCUAGAGUUGAAAGGAAUCAAACACUAUCUGCAACCAGGUACGUGAGGAAGCAGAUACUUUCCUGGGUUAGCCUCUGAUGAGAACCCAGCUCUGGCCAACAUACUGGCCACAGCCUUGGGAGACUCUGGGUAGAAGACCUGGCUAAGCAGUGCUCGGACUCCUGGCCCACAGAAAAUAUGGGACCAUAAGUGUCUGUUCUGUUCAGCCACUGAGUUUGUGGUAAUUUGUAGGAAUAGAUAACCAAUACACAUGGUUCUACUGAGAUUUUCUUUUUAAAAAAAAAUAUGUACCUUUAAUAAAUACCUUUCUACUGUU